GGAGGAAAAGAAACCAACAGGGAUUGCCCCAGUAACGGCGAGUGAAGCGGCAACAGCUCAAAUUUGAAAUCUGGUCCCCAGGGCCCGAGUUGUAAUUUGUAGAGGAUGCUUUUGGCGCGGCGCCUUCCGAGUUCCCUGGAACGGGACGCCAUAGAGGGUGAGAGCCCCGUCUGGUCGGAUGCCUAGCCUCUGUAAAGCUCCUUCGACGAGUCGAGUAGUUUGGGAAUGCUGCUCAAAAUGGGAGGUAUAUGUCUUCUAAAGCUAAAUAUUGGCCAGAGACCGAUAGCGCACAAGUAGAGUGAUCGAAAGAUGAAAAGCACUUUGAAAAGAGGGUUAAAAAGUACGUGAAAUUGUUGAAAGGGAAGCGCCUAUGACCAGACUUGGGCCCGGUGAAUCAUCCAGCGUUCUCGCUGGUGCACUUUGCCGGGCACAGGCCAGCAUCAGUUUGGUGCGGGGGAUAAAGGCUUUGGGAAUGUGGCUCCCUCGGGAGUGUUAUAGCCCAUUGUGUAAUACCCUGCGCCGGACUGAGGUACGCGCAUUGCAAGGAUGCUGGCGUAAUGGUCAUCAGCGACCCGUCUUGAAACACGGACCAAGGAGUCGUCUUCGUAUGCGAGUGUUCGGGUGUCAAACCCCUACGCGUAAUGAAAGUGAACGCAGGUGAGAGCUUCGGCGCAUCAUCGACCGAUCCUGAUGUUCUCGGAUGGAUUUGAGUAAGAGCAUACGGGGCCGGACCCGAAAGAAGGUGAACUAUGCCUGUAUAGGGUGAAGCCAGAGGAAACUCUGGUGGAGGCUCGCAGCGGUUCUGACGUGCGAAUCGAUCGUCAAAUAUGGGCAUGGGGGCGAAAGACUAAUCGACCUUC
rnacentral:rRNA from 1 species